GGAAUCUUCGGCAAUGGGGGCAACCCUGACCGAACAACGCCGCGUGAGUGAAGAAGGUUUUCGGAUCGUAAAGCUCUGUUGUAAGAGAAGAACGUGUGUGAGAGUGGAAAGUUCACACAGUGACGGUAACUUACCAGAAAGGGACGGCUAACUACGUGCCAG
rnacentral:rRNA from 1 species